rnacentral:ncRNA from 1 species
CUGACUGCGUAUACGGCUCUCCAUUUCUAAGUCGUAUACAGCUUUAAUAAGGAGGAAGUGUUCAUCCCCAGGCUCGGGGUGCGGCAGUGUGGAGACCUGUCGUAAUGCGGCGCGCUCUCUGCGGGCGGUCGCGAGGAUCUCUCAGGCGGAGGCCGGAGAUUCGGAGUCGGAAGUAUGGCA